ensembl:misc_RNA 7SK 7SK RNA
GGAUGUGAGGGUGAUCUGGCUGAGACAUCUGUCACCCCAGUGAUCGCCAGGGUUGGUUCAGGUGAUCUGGCUGCCUAGGCAGGUGUCCCCUUCCUCCCUCACCACUCCAUGUGUGUCUCCCCCAAAGCUGUGCAUUUGAUCGAAGAGGACGACCUUCCCUGAGUAGAGACGGACUGGUCUUCUGUGGAGAUAUAUGAGUAGCUGCACUCCCCUGCUAAGACAUCCAAACAAGCUCUCAAGGUCCUGGGCAGAUGACCUCACUAAUGUGUCCCAACGUCUCAGCUCCCCAGAGCCCAACCCCACUAGGGAAAGAUAGAAACAGGCUGGGGCUAUGA